rnacentral:rRNA from 1 species
AUGUCGACUAACAAAAAAUCUCUCAUUUCCGACUCGAAUAGAUUUUUUUAUUUUGAAAUAAAGGUUCUUGUCUUGUGGGGAACGAUGCACACAUUUUUGGAAUCCGGUAUCAACAGGUAUAAUCCUCUCCGAACUAUGUUUUCUUUCAAGCCUUUCAAUCAAUCAAUAUGA